rnacentral:rRNA from 1 species
UACGUAGGGGGCAAGCGUUGUCCGGAAUCAUUGGGCGUAAAGAGCGUGUAGGCGGCUCGGUAAGUCCGCUGUGAAAGUCCAGGGCUCAACCCUGGAAUGCCGGUGGAAACUGUCGAGCUCGAGUCCGGAAGAGGCGAGUGGAAUUCCUGGUGGUAGCGGUGAAAUGCGCAGAUAUCAGGAGGAACACCAAUGGCGAAGGCAGCUCGCUGGGACGGUACUGACGCUGAGACGCGAAAGCUGGGGAGCAAACAGG